GAUGAACGCUGGCGGCGUGCCUAAUACAUGCAAGUCGAGCGAACAGAUAAGGAGCUUGCUCCUUUGACGUUAGCGGCGGACGGGUGAGUAACACGUGGAUAACCUACCUAUAAGACUGGGAUAACUUCGGGAAACCGGAGCUAAUACCGGAUAACAUAUUGAACCGCAUGGUUCAAUAGUGAAAGGCGGCUUUGCUGUCACUUAUAGAUGGAUCCGCGCCGUAUUAGCUAGUUGGUAAGGUAACGGCUUACCAAGGCAACGAUACGUAGCCGACCUGAGAGGGUGAUCGGCCACACUGGAACUGAGACACGGUCCAGACACCUACGGGAGGCAGCAGUAGGGAAUCUUCCGCAAUGGGCGAAAGCCUGACGGAGCAACGCCGCGUGAGUGAUGAAGGUCUUCGGAUCGUAAAACUCUGUUAUCAGGGAAGAACAAAUGUGUAAGUAACUGUGCACAUCUUGACGGUACCUGAUCAGAAAGCCACGGCUAACCACGUG
rnacentral:rRNA from 1 species